AUGGGGCAGACGCGCAACCAAGCUGCGGUGGCAGGCAGCUACAGAGAAACUGGAAGCCGAUCUCAAAGUAAUGAAGGAGGAUAUUUCUGGCUUCAGGAAGCGGCGGCAGACAGCAAGGAUAUUCGUGCACAGAUGAUUACUAUUGACACUCUUGAUUCUUUGAUGCAGAAGUACCUAGGCACACAAAAUUCACACUCUGAAGCCACUGUGACUGAAACAGAAGAACGGCUCAAGGUGGGUUCCCUGGUAUUCAUACUAUUCAGCCCAACGGAUUACAUGUGCCAGGCCAUUUUCAAAUUCCACCUAUUGUACAGCCAAAUCUAUACGUCUUUGAUAAUUUCGAACAACAAUCUGCUCCUAUGGUUUGGCCUCCUAAUACUGUUCCACAACUGGCUUGUAAUUCAAACAACCCUCCUGUACCUCCACAUCAUUUUAGUCAUGUCACUGGACAUUUCUUCCUCCACCACCUGUCAUUGUUGGAGUUCAACAGCAAAAACCUAUGUUCAGUAA
rnacentral:rRNA from 1 species